CUGAAUAGACUGUAGUGUUAACUAUGUACUAGCUGAAGCAAAACUGAGAGGUGAAACUAAAAUUACCUCAAGUAAUUUGAUGGAAGCAGAAACUGUAUGUCUAUGUAACUAAGUCAUGUUGCAUAAGCACUUUAUAAUGAGAACAAUUUGGCACAAAUCCAGAUGUAAAAUUGCUAGAGUAAACAGCCUUUAAUUGGAUAUACAUAUGUGUUAUGUGAGUAGUAAUAUUUAUAAAAAUAAUAAUUGGAGUUUAAUAUAAAAUAUAAAUAAUAGAGAUAUAACAAAUAGUAAUUGUAAUAACUGCAUAUAAUGAUCAUCAAUGUAUUAUCAGGAAGAUAAAAACAACAUUAAGAAA